rnacentral:rRNA from 1 species
AGUGAACGCUGGCGGUAGGCCUAACACAUGCAAGUCGAACGGCAGCACAGUAAGAGCUUGCUCUUACGGGUGGCGAGUGGCGGACGGGUGAGGAAUACAUCGGAAUCUACUUUUUCGUGGGGGAUAACGUAGGGAAACUUACGCUAAUACCGCAUACGACCUACGGGUGAAAGCAGGGGAUCUUCGGACCUUGCGCGAUUGAAUGAGCCGAUGUCGGAUUAGCUAGUUGGCGGGGUAAAGGCCCACCAAGGCGACGAUCCGUAGCUGGUCUGAGAGGAUGAUCAGCCACACUGGAACUGAGACACGGUCCAGACUCCUACGGGAGGCAGCAGUGGGGAAUAUUGGACAAUGGGCGCAAGCCUGAUCCAGCCAUACCGCGUGGGUGAAGAAGGCCUUAGGGUUGUAAAGCCCUUUUGUUGGGAAAGAAAAGCAGCAGGUUAAUACCCCGCUGUUCCGACGGUACCCAAAGAAUAAGCACCGGCUAACUUCGUG